rnacentral:rRNA from 3 species
AAAACUUUCAACAACGGAUCUCUUGGUUCUCGCAUCGAUGAAGAACGCAGCGAAUUGCGAUACGUAGUAUGACUUGCAGACGUGAAUCAUCGAAUCUUUGAACGCACAUUGC